rnacentral:rRNA from 2 species
UACGAAGGGGGCUAGCGUUGCUCGGAAUCACUGGGCGUAAAGGGUGCGUAGGCGGGUCUUUAAGUCAGGGGUGAAAUCCUGGAGCUCAACUCCAGAACUGCCUUUGAUACUGAAGAUCUUGAGUUCGGGAGAGGUGAGUGGAACUGCGAGUGUAGAGGUGAAAUUCGUAGAUAUUCGCAAGAACACCAGUGGCGAAGGCGGCUCACUGGCCCGAUACUGACGCUGAGGCACGAAAGCGUGGGGAGCAAAC